rnacentral:rRNA from 1 species
GACGUAGGGCGCGAGCGUUGUCCGGAUUUAUUGGGCGUAAAGAGCUCGUAGGCGGCUUGUCGCGUCGUGUGUGAAAUCUCAGGGCUCAACUCUGACAUUGCAUACGAUACGGGCAGGCUUGAGUUCGGUAGGGGAGACUGGAAUUCCUGGUGUAGCGGUGAAAUGCGCAGAUAUCAGGAGGAACACCGGUGGCGAAGGUGGGUCUCUGGGCCGAUACUGACGCUGAGGAGCGAAAGCGUGGGGAGCGAACAGG